UAACUGGGUGCUCUAUUGUAACUUCAGCAGAUGCAACUGCAAUCAAUGAUCAAUCUCUUUCAUGGAGCUCCUUGGCUAGUAAGGAAAGAUGGGAGAGCUACUCGUUUCCUUGGAAGAGUAAUUCUACCAUUCCAGCCUGUGUUAUAUAUGACUCAAAACUUCAGAUGUGGGAUUUUGCUGGCACCUGGUUUUAUUCUCUGAAAGAUCACAACAAAGAAAUAAACAGAUUUUUACCAGUC